AAGUCAGUAUCUGCAGACCCGAAACCGGGUGAUCUAUCCAUGUCCAGGUUGAAGUUGCCGUAAAAGGCAAUGGAGGACCGAACGCACAUCCGUUGAAAAGGGUGGCGAUGAGGUGUGGAUAGGGGAGAAAUUCCAAUCGAACCCGGAGAUAGCUGGUUCUCCUCGAAAUAGCUUUAGGGCUAGCCUCGUAUUAAUUCCAUGGAGGUAGAGCACUGAAUUUCCUAGGGGGCGUCAAAGUCUACCGAAGAAUAUCAAACUCCGAAUGCCAUAGGAAUGAUGUACGGGAGUCAGACUGCACGAGAUAAGUUGGGCAGUCAAAAGGGAAAGAGCCCAGACCUACAGCUAAGGUCCCAAAGUACGUGUUAAGUGGAAAAGGAUGUGGGAUUUCAGAGACAACUAGGAUGUUGGCUUAGAAGCAGCCAUACAUUCAAAGAGUGCGUAAUAGCUCACUAGUCGAGAGGUCCUGCGCCGAAAAUGUCCGGGGCUGAAACACGACACCGAAGCUUAGGAAUGUGAGUAAUCACGUUGGUAGAGGAGCAUUCUUACCGGGAAGAAGCAGUAUUGUAAGGUAUUGUGGACUGGUAAGAAGAGAGAAUGCCGGAAUGAGUAGCGAGAUGGAGGUGAGAAUCCUCCAGGCCGAAUAUCUAAGGUUUCCAGGGUAAAGCUGAUCUGCCUGGGUAAGUCGGGGCCUAAGGCGAGGUCGAAAGACGUAGCCGAUGGACAACAGGUUGAGAUUCCUGUACUAUCAUAUGACAGAACUGUGGGGACACAGAGGGAAAGCCUGAGCCGGGAAAGGGAAACCCGGUGCAAGCGAAGUAGGAGCUGGACUGGCAAAUCCGUCCAGCAAUCCGAAGGCGUGACGCGUACCGAAUUCAAGUAGGGAAGCAGGUGAGCCAGCUGUCGAGAAAAGCCGCUAUUGUUCAUAUGAUACCCGUACCGUAAACCGACACAGGUGGAUGAGGAGAGAAUCCUAAGGCCGGCGGGAGAAGCAUUGUUAAGGAACUCGGCAAAAUGACCCCGUAACUUCGGGAGAAGGGGUGCCUCUGAAAGGAGGCCGCAGAGAAUAGGCUCAAGCAACUGUUUAGCAAAAACACAGGUCUAUGCGAAACCGAAAGGUGAGGUAUAUGGCUGACGCCUGCCCGGUGCUGGAAGGUUAAGAGGAGGAGUCAGGCAACGAAGCUCCGAAUUUAAGCCCCAGUAAACGGCGGCCGUAACUAUAACGGUCCUAAGGUAGCGAAAUUCCUUGUCGGGUAAGUUCCGACCCGCACGAAAGGCGUAAUGAUUUGAGCGCUGUCUCGACAAUGCACCCGGUGAAAUUGAAGUACCAGUGAAGAUGCUGGUUACCUGCGCCAGGACGGAAAGACCCCAUGGAGCUUUACUCCAGCUUGAUACUGGGAUUCGAUGCUGUAUGUACAGGAUAGGUGGGAGACUGAGAAGUGAUUACGCCAGUAAUCAUGGAGUCACUGUUGGGAUACCACUCUUGCAGCAUUGGGUUUCUAACCUGCGCCCGUGACCCGGGCGGGGGACAAUGUCUGGCGGGGAGUUUGACUGGGGCGGUCGCCUCCGAAAGGGUAUCGGAGGCGCUCAAAGGUUCCCUCAGGAUGGUUGGAAACCAUCCGAAGAGUGCAAAGGCAUAAGGGAGCUUGACUGUGACACCGACGGGUGGAGCAGGUACGAAAGUAGGACUUAGUGAUCCGGUGGUAUUAAGUGGGAAUGCCAUCGCUCAACGGAUAAAAGCUACCCUGGGGAUAACAGGCUUAUCACUCCCAAGAGUUCACAUCGACGGAGUGGUUUGGCACCUCGAUGUCGGCUCAUCGCAUCCUGGGGCUGUAGCAGGUCCCAAGGGUUGGGCUGUUCGCCCAUUAAAGCGGUACGCGAGCUGGGUUCAGAACGUCGUGAGACAGUUCGGUCCCUAUCCGGCGCAGGCGGAGGAUAUUUGAGAGGAGCUGUCCUUAGUACGAGAGGACCGGGAUGGACGGACCGCUGGUGAAUCUGUUGGCUACCAAAGCCAUGGCAGAGUAGCCAAGUCCGGCAGGGAUAAACGCUGAAGGCAUCUAAGCGUGAAGCCCCCCUCAAGAUGAGAUAUCCCAA
rnacentral:rRNA from 1 species